rnacentral:rRNA from 1 species
GUGGGGAAUAUUGGACAAUGGGGGGAACCCUGAUCCAGCCAUGCCGCGUGUGUGAAGAAGGCCUUUUGGUUGUAAAGCACUUUAAGCGAGGAGGAGGCUACCGAGAUUAAUACUCUUGGAUAGUGGACGUUACUCGCAGAAUAAGCACCGGCUAACUCUGUGCCAGCAGCCGCGGUAAUACAAAGGGUGCAAGCGUUAAUCGGAUUUACUGGGCGUAAAGCGCGCGUAGGUGGCCAAUUAAGUCAAAUGUGAAAUCCCCGAGCUUAACUUGGGAAUUGCAUUCGAUACUGGUUGGCUAGAGUAUGGGAGAGGAUGGUAGAAUUCCAGGUGUAGCGGUGAAAUGCGUAGAGAUCUGGAGGAAUACCGAUGGCGAAGGCAGCCAUCUGGCCUAAUACUGACACUGAGGUGCGAAAGCAUGGGGAGCAAACAGGAUUAGAAACCCUUGUAGUCC